AGGGAAACCGAGUCUUAACCGGGCGUUAAGUUGCAGGGUAUAGACCCGAAACCCGGUGAUCUAGCCAUGGGCAGGUUGAAGGUUGGGUAACACUAACUGGAGGACCGAACCGACUAAUGUUGAAAAAUUAGCGGAUGACCUGUGGCUGGGGGUGAAAGGCCAAUCAAACCGGGAGAUAGCUGGUUCUCCCCGAAAGCUAUUUAGGUAGCGCCUCGUGAACUCAUCUCCGGGGGUAGAGCACUGUUUCGGCUAGGGGGCCAUCCCGGCUUACCAACCCGAUGCAAACUGCGAAUACCGGAGAAUGUUAUCACGGGAGACACACGGCGGGUGCUAACGUCCGUCGUGAAGAGGGAAACAACCCAGACCGCCAGCUAAGGUCCCAAAGUCAUGGUUAAGUGGGAAACGAUGUGGGAAGGCCCAGACAGCCAGGAUGUUGGCUUAGAAGCAGCCAUCAUUUAAAGAAAGCGUAAUAGCUCACUGGUCGAGUCGGCCUGCGCGGAAGAUGUAACGGGGCUAAACCAUGCACCGAAGCUGCGGCAGCGAACGUAUCACUUAAAGCGAUUCAGCGGGUUACGAUUGACGGAGCGAAGCGACGUCAAAGCGUAUACAAAGUCGAGUCGGUUUAAGGAUACGUUCGUUGGGUAGGGGAGCGUUCUGUAAGCCUGUGAAGGUGGCCUGUGAGGGUUGCUGGAGGUAUCAGAAGUGCGAAUGCUGACAUAAGUAACGAUAAAGCGGGUGAAAAGCCCGCUCGCCGGAAGACCAAGGGUUCCUGUCCAACGUUAAUCGGGGCAGGGUGAGUCGACCCCUAAGGCGAGGCCGAAAGGCGUAGUCGAUGGGAAACGGGUUAAUAUUCCCGUACUUGGUGUUACUGCGAAGGGGGGACGGAGAAGGCUAUGUUGGCCGGGCGACGGUUGUCCCGGUUUAAGCGUGUAGGUGUGUGUUCCAGGUAAAUCCGGUUCACUUUAACACUGAGGCGUGACGACGAGGCACUACGGUGCUGAAGCAACAAAUGCCCUGCUUCCAGGAAAAGCCUCUAAGCAUCAGGUAACAUCAAAUCGUACCCCAAACCGACACAGGUGGUCAGGUAGAGAAUACCAAGGCGCUUGAGAGAACUCGGGUGAAGGAACUAGGCAAAAUGGUGCCGUAACUUCGGGAGAAGGCACGCUGACACGUAGGUGAAGUGAUUUACUCAUGGAGCUGAAGUCAGUCGAAGAUACCAGCUGGCUGCAACUGUUUAUUAAAAACACAGCACUGUGCAAACACGAAAGUGGACGUAUACGGUGUGACGCCUGCCCGGUGCCGGAAGGUUAAUUGAUGGGGUCAGCGCAAGCGAAGCUCCUGAUCGAAGCCCCGGUAAACGGCGGCCGUAACUAUAACGGUCCUAAGGUAGCGAAAUUCCUUGUCGGGUAAGUUCCGACCUGCACGAAUGGCGUAAUGAUGGCCAGGCUGUCUCCACCCGAGACUCAGUGAAAUUGAACUCGCUGUGAAGAUGCAGUGUACCCGCGGCAAGACGGAAAGACCCCGUGAACCUUUACUAUAGCUUGACACUGAACAUUGAGCCUUGAUGUGUAGGAUAGGUGGGAGGCUUUGAAGUGUGGACGCCAGUCUGCAUGGAGCCGACCUUGAAAUACCACCCUUUAAUGUUU
rnacentral:rRNA from 1 species